rfam:Acyrthosiphon pisum strain LSR1 Contig19277, whole genome shotgun sequence.
UCGUGUUCUGUUCCUGACUCGGCUGGCGCCAGACUGGCGGGCGCCGCCAGUCUGUCACAGAACACGGGA